rnacentral:lncRNA from 1 species
AUCCAGCUAUAGAAAUGUCUUCUUUUUGUUUAGCAGUCUGACACUCGUGCUCCAUUUCCACAUUCAGCAGACAAAAUGGUUCAGAUGGAUGGAUUUCCCCUCAAGCCAGUCUCCUCUGCACAUGAAAGACGUCCUCCAUCCACCGUUACCAUGUUUAGUGACAGACCAGCGAAGUGAAGAAAAGAUCCAUCCAGAAGAUCUUUUCAUGAGUUAACAGGUAAACUUUAGCGAUUAACAAGUCCAAAUCACUGAAACUCCUGUAGAAAAUACAAACACUUUAUACCCAAUGAAAUAUACUAAGAUGGAUAUGGCUGUUCUUAGAUUCUCCAGUGGUUCUCAAGGACAACGGCUUGCAGACCAGUCGAGCCGACAAGAGCCCCCCCGACUGUUUCCAGCUCAUCGGAGCUCCUCCUGAAGAGCCACCAGCACCAGAGCGGCAGAUGGAAACGCAACACGGAGCCAGCGGAGUCAACAACCUGGAACAACCCACUUUCAGAGAACUCCACAAGUUCCUCUUGAACAUUGUCACAACGUGUGGACUGAGACGGUGUGAUGUCUCUGUGGUUGGAGCUCCAUCUGUGGUUUAGCUCCCUAAAGUCCAGACAGUGAAGAG